CUAAGUGUUGUGGGUCUGUCCCUUUGUGUCUUCUUCUUUCUUUCUCUUUCUCUAUUUCUCUCUACUAGCCCUUAAGGUCUUUUAUUGUGUCUCUAUAAGCUUGGAGGAUCUCAGUCUCUCAGCCCCUUCAUGUACACUGUCAAUAGCAGUGGUGAUCCCUGGUGCCAGCUAGUGACGAAAUGACGACCCAGAAUUGCAUCAUUUUGACACGCAACCAAAAAACCCAGAGUCAAUGAACGCUAACCUGCAGCGGCACUCUGUGAGGAAACCGUUUUCAGUUUCAUUGCAUUUCAUUUUCAGUCUGAAUUUCUGCACUUCUGUCUGGCUGUGCUGGGCGCUCCCCUCCUCACCCCCUGGCCGAGUCCGUACCAGGGGCCGCCCCGAGCCAGCAUGCCCCCCCACCGCAGACACAGUGAGUCACUAACACCCCCCCCAUAAGGACCCCUACCACCCAGCUCAACCCCCCCCCCAAUCAUUUAACCUUGUGUGGACUAUAUUUUGAACUGUAU
rnacentral:lncRNA from 1 species